GACGACCCGGCCGUCCUACGAGGCAGCGACCCAUAGCGAGUUAGCGACCAUACACGCGUUAUCGGGGUUCUACGUAUAUCCACCUCUUCUUCUCGUGGGUCUGUGGCUUGACUGCAGUACUAAUUACCGUUUGCUAGUUGGUAUACAGUGCAGCCUGGUGCCAUCUGCCAUGGCGGCCACGACGGCGAGUCUGGCGGGUUUGGCGACGGUGGCCCAGCUGGCUUUGUACGUCCACGGGCUGGUCACGAAGAUCACCGGGGCGGCGGAGACUGCCCGGCAGAACAAGCUGGAGUGCAAGAAUCUCGCGAGCCGCGUAUCCGUGAUCGGCGACCUGCUGCUGCAGCUGCAGGACCCGGCGGUGGCGCAGCCGCUGGCCGGGCUGGGCCACACGCUCCAGGAGGCGCACGAUCUCGUCGUCGCUUGCCAGAAAUGGAGCGCGCGCAGGAAGUUCUUGUACGCCGACGACCAGGCAGAGAGGUUCAGGGAAGUCAACCGCAGGAUCGACUCCCACCUCAUCCUCAUCCCCUUGCUCAGCCAUAUCUCCAUUACCCGCCGCCUCGACCAGAUCUGUCCUCCGAAUCCCACCAGCGUUCUUUUACCAGUAGCGCCAACAAUGGUUGUUGGAUGUGCUUCUGCGCAGCUGCAGGUACGUACAUAUCCACCACAGUGAGAAGAACCAUUUUCAUCUUGUUGGUUUUGCAGCUUAAUUAAACCAUCGUCUUCCAUAGGAGCCUGCGAUGGUCCAGUAUGCAACUGUGGAGUUCGCGUCGGCGGAGAUCGCGGUCUUGACCGGAAACUUCGGCCAUGUGCUCAGCGAGGACGUCUCCGGAACGGUGUACAAGGGUCGUCUUCACGACGGCCUGGAGGUGGCGGUGAAGAGCCUGAAGAAUCACGGGCAGCAACGCCACGAACAAGAGGGUGCCUUCGUGGCGGAGCUCGAGACCCUCUGCCACCUCCGUCGCGACCACGUCGUGCACCUCGUGGGCUGGUGCGCGGAGGACGACGAUCGCAUGUUCGUCUACCAGUACCAGCACACGAGCAACGGCACGCUCAGGGACCACCUGCAGGGCGGCGGCUUUGCGUCGCCCGUGACGUCGUCCUGGAAGGCGCGUGUCCUGGCGCUGCUGGGCGCGUCCAGGGCCAUCGACCACCUGCACCGCGUGGCCACUCCGCGGAUCAUCCACCGCAACGUCAGCUCGUCGAGCAUCCUUCUGGACGAGAGCUGGGCGGCCCGCGUGUCCGGCUUCAGCGCGGCGGUUUUGCAAGAGCCGACGACCGACGGCCAGCUCGUCGGGGAGGUCGCCGGCACGUUGGGGUACAUCGAUCCGGAGUACCACCGCACGCGGCGUGUGAGUCCGGCGAGCGACGUGUACAGCUUUGGCGUCGUCAUGCUGGAGUUGCUGACCGGUAGGCCGCCUAGCUGGGAGAGCAAGGACCCGAACACCUUGGUUGGCUUUGCUGCCCCGAUCAUCGAGAGGGGGGACCUGGGGUCUGUGCUGGACCGGCGCCCGUCGCCGGCGCCGACCCCGGGGCAGAUGGAGGCGCUGAAGCUCGUGGCCUACACGGCAGCACGCUGUCUGUGGCCACAGCCACAGGACCGCCCCGCCAUGUCAAACGUGGUGACCAACCUCGAGGCGGCGCUCGGGCUCAUAGACAGCGAUGAGCCUAAGCAAAGCUAUUAGAGCCAGCUAGCGAUGAUGACUCGCCAAGACGUAAACUGCGUCACAACGAUACGUACCUUUAGCUUGUAAACAUGGUCUAGUUAGAAUGGACGUCUCGAUCGGCCGGUUUGUUUGGUGCUCAAAU
rnacentral:rRNA from 1 species